rnacentral:rRNA from 1 species
CCUACGGGUGGCAGCAGUGGGGAAUAUUGGACAAUGGGGGCAACCCUGAUCCAGCCAUGCCGCGUGUGUGAAGAAGGCCCUCGGGUUGUAAAGCACUUUCAGUGAGGAAGAACGCCUGGUGGUUAAUACCCAUCAGGAAAGACAUCACUCACAGAAGAAGCACCGGCUAACUCCGUGCCAGCAGCCGCGGUAAUACGGAGGGUGCGAGCGUUAAUCGGAAUUACUGGGCGUAAAGCGCGCGUAGGUGGCUUGAUAAGCCGGUUGUGAAAGCCCCGGGCUCAACCUGGGAACGGCAUCCGGAACUGUCGAGCUAGAGUGCAGGAGAGGAAGGUAGAAUUCCCGGUGUAGCGGUGAAAUGCGUAGAGAUCGGGAGGAAUACCAGUGGCGAAGGCGGCCUUCUGGACUGACACUGACACUGAGGUGCGAAAGCGUGGGUAGCAAACAGGAUUAGAUACCCCUGUAGUC